rnacentral:rRNA from 1 species
AGAGUUUGAUCCGGCUCAGGACGAACGCUGGCGGGCAUGCUAACAUGCAAGUCGAGCGGACUGAAGAGAAGCUGCUUCUGAUGUUAGCGGCGGACGGGUGAGUAACACGUAGGCAACCUGCCCUCAAGUUUGGGACAACUACCGGAAACGGUAGCUAAUACCGAAUAGUUGUUUUCUUCUCCUGAAGAGAACUGGAAAGACGGAGAAUCUGUCACUUGGGGAUGGGCCUGCGGCGCAUUAGCUAGUUGGUGGGGUAACGGCUCACCAAGGCGACGAUGCGUAGCCGACCUGAGAGGGUGAUCGGCCACACUGGGACUGAGACACGGCCCAGACUCUACGGGAGGCAGCAGUAGGGAAUCUUCCGCAAUGGGCGAAAGCCUGACGGAGCAAUGCCGCGUGAGUGAUGAAGGUUUUCGGAUCGUAAAGCUCUGUUGCCAGGGAAGAACGCUUGGGAGAGUAACUGCUCUCAAGGUGACGGUACCUGAGAAGAAAGCCCCGGCUAACUACGUGCCAGCAGCCGCGGUAAUACGUAGGGGGCAAGCGUUGUCCGGAAUUAUUGGGCGUAAAGCGCGCGCAGGCGGUCAUUUAAGUCUGGUGUUUAAUCCCGGGGUCACCCCGGAUCGCACUUGAGUGCAGAAGAGGAGAGUGGAAGGCGAAACAUAUGGAGGAACCCAGUGCGAAGGCG